GGGGUUGUGGCUCAGUGGUAGAGUGCUUGCCUAGCAUGCAUGAGGCACUGGGUUCACUCCUCAACACCA
rnacentral:tRNA from 1 species